CUUGUCCCUAGAAGCAGUGCACAUGGGGCUGCUAUGUCACAUGUGUGUCAGGAGGUGGCAGAGAGGAAAGAAGCUAUGUCUAUGCUGUGUUCUGACCUAAGAACAUCUGAAUGAUUAAUAGUCUAAUGUU